UAUAGCAGGAGGUUUUGAGACGAAAUCAAACGGAACACGUAUACAUUAAUCCGAUAGAGAUUUUCUUGUUUCGUCAUAUCGAGAAGUAUUUAAAAAUGAUGAUUUGAUAAUAGAUAAAGUUUGGUUCCAAAAUAAAAACACUCAAUUUUGACCGAAAAAACCGUGUGUUUUAUGCUAAUGUCAAGCAAAUCUCAUACACACUAAUCGGAUUAAGAUUUUCGCGUUCCAUCUACUCGAGAGGUACUUAAAAAUAAUGAUUUGUUAAUAGAAAAAAUUUGGUUCGAAAAUAACAACAUUCAAUUUUGACUAGAAAAACCGUGUGUUUAUAGCAAGGGGUUUUGGGCCGAAAUCAAGCGAAACUCGUAUACACUAAUCUAAUUGAGAUUUUCGGGUUCUGUCAGUUUGAGAAUUUCUUAGAGAUGAUGAUUUGAUAAUAGAAAAAGUUUGGUUCAAAUAUAACAACAUUUAAUUUUGACAAAAAAAAAAAAAACGUGUGCCAUAGCAAGAGGUUUUUUGUAUGAAAUUAAGCGGAACACGUAUUCACUAAUCUGAUAGAGAUUUUCGUGUUCCGUCAAUUCGAGAAGUAUCUAAAAAUGAUGAUUGGAUAAUAGAAAAAGUUUGGUUCCAAAAUAAAAAUAUUCAAUUUUGACCGAAAAAACUGUGUGCUAUAGUAAGGGAUUUUGAGCUAAAAUCAAGCGGAACUCGUAUAUACAAAUCCGAUUUAAAUUUUCGAGUUUCAUUAGCUCUAGAAGUAUUUAGAAAUGAUGAUUUGAUAAUAGAAAAAGUUUGGUUCAAAAAUAAAAACAUUCAAUUUUGACCGAAAAAUCUGUGUGUUAUCAGGGGGUUUUGGGCUGAAUUCAACUAUAUCUGUAUAAACUAAUUCGAUUGAGAUUUUCGAGUUUUUUCAGUCGGUGAAGUACUUAUAAAUGAUAAUUAUGUUAUAGAAAAAGUUUGGUCAAAAAAUAAGAAUAUUCGAUUUUGACCAAAAAUUUGUGUUAUGAUUUUAUUUCCGGUGGAGCUCAAAUGACUCACGAGUACCGUGUUUUUUAAAGCUAUUAUAAUUGCUUUUUUUAGAGGUAUUUAGUGAAUUUCCAAGCUUGUGAUGCCUUCAUUACUUCUAAUACCGAUCGGCCCCAAGAAGCUCAGUUUAAAAAAUUAAAACAAAACUAAUUAUUACCCUCAUCUCAAAUUUCACUGAAUUUGAGCCAAACACAAGAGUUUUGAGUCCUUUUUUUGAUCUAUGGUUUUUCUAUUUGUGUGUGUUUAUAAAACCUUCCAACAUCUUUAUGAAUUCAUGUUUGAACCACUCGUAUACAUUAAUCUAAUUGAGAUUUUCGGGUUACGUCAAUUCGAGAAGUUCAUAGAGGUGGUAAUUUGAUAAUAGAAAAAGGUUGGUUCUAAAAUGAAAACAUUCAAUUUUGACCGAAAAAACCGUGUGCUGUAGCAAGAGGUUUUAGGCUGAUACCAAGCAAGUCUCAUACACAAUAACCAGAUUAAGAUUUUCGCAUUCCGUCUGCUGCAUAGGUAUUUAGAUACGAUGAUUUGAUAAUAGAAAAAGUAAUAACAUUCAAAAAUAAGAACAUUCAAUUUUGACUAAAAAAACUGUGUGCUAUAGUAAAGGGUUUUGGGCCGAAAUCAAGCGAAACUCGUAUAUACUAAUCGAAUUAAGAUUUUACGUUCCGUCAGCUUGAGUAGCACUGAGAAAUGAUGAUUUGAUCAUAGAAAAAGUUUAGUUCAAAAAUAAGAACAUUCAAUUUUGAUCGGAAAAACCAUGUACUAUAGCAAGGGGUUUUGGGCCGAAAUUAAGCGAAACUCGUAUAUUAUAUUUGGAUUAAGGUUUUCUGAUUCCCUCAGUUCGAGAAGUUCUCAGAGAUGAUAAUUUGAUAAUAGAAAAAGUUUGGUUAAAAAAUAAGAACAUUCAAUUUUGACCGGAAAAACCAUGUGGUAUAGCAGGGGUUUUAGGCCGAAAUCAAACGAAACUCGUAUACUAAUCGAAUUAAGGUUUUCGGAUUCCAUCAGUUCGAGAAGUUCUCAGAGAUGAUAAUUUGAUAAUGAUAAUAAAAAAUAAGAACAUUCAAUUUUGACAAAAAAAUCAUAUGCCAUAGUAAAAGGUUUUGGGCCGAAAUCAGACGGAACUCGUAUACGUUAAUCUAAUUGAGAUUUUCAGGUUCCGUCAAUUCGAGAAGUUCAUAGAGUUGAUAAUUUGAUAAUAGAAAAAGUUUGGUUCCGAAAUGAAAAUAUUCUAUUUUGACCGAAAAAACCGUGUGCUAUAGCAAGAGGUUUUAGGUUGAUUCUCAUACACACCAAUCAUAUUAAGAUUUUCGCGUUCCGUGUGUUGCAGAGGUACUUAGAUAUGAUGAUUUGAUAAUAGAAAAAAUUUGGUUCAAAAAUAAUAACAUUCAAUUUUGAACAGAAAAACCGUGUGCUAGAGGUUUUCGGCCGAAAUGAAGCGGAACUCGUAUACACUAAUCGGAUUAAGAUUUUCGCGUUCCGUCAGCUCGAGAGGUACAGAGAAAUGAUGAUUUGAUAAAAUAAAAAGUUUGGUUCAAAAAUAUGAACAUUCAAUUGUGACAAAAAAAACCGUGUGCUAUUAUAAGGGUUUUGGGUCGAAAUCAAGUUGAACUCGUAUACACUAAUCUAAUUGAGAUUUUCGAAUUCCGUCAGUUCGAGAAGUUCUUAGAUAUGACGAAUUGAUAAUAGAAAAAGUUUGGUUCCAAAAUGAAAAUAUUCAAUUUUGACCGAAAAAACCGUAUGCUAUAGUAAGAGGUUUUAGGCUGAUACCAAGUAAGUCUCAGACACACUAAUCAGAUUAAGAUUUUCGCGUUCCGUCAGUUUGAGAGGUACUUAGAAAUGAUGAUUUUGAUAAUAGAAAAAGUUUGGUUAAAAAAUAAGAACACAUUUAAUUUUGACAAAAAAACCGUGUGCUAUAGUAAGGGGUUUUGGGCUGAAAUCAAGCGGAACUCGUAUACACUAAUCUAAUUGAGAUUUUCGGGUUCCGUCAGUUCGAGAAGUUCUUAGAGAUAAUGAUUUGAUAAUAGAAAGAAUUUGGUUCCAAAAUAAAAACAUUUAGUUUUGACCGAAAAAACCGUGUGCUAGGCAUGGUUUUAGGUGAUAUCAAGCAAGUCUCAUACACACUAAUUGGAUUAAAAUUUUCGAGCUCUGUCAGCUCGAGAGGUAAGUAGAUAUGAUGAUUUGAUAAUAGAUAAAGUUUGGUUCAAAAAUAAGAAGGUUCAAUUUUAACCGGAAAAAUGGUGAGCUAUAACAAUGGGUUUUUGGCGGAAAUUAAGCGGAACUCGUAUAUAUUAAAUCCAAUUGAGAUUUUUAGGUUUAGUAUAUUCGAGAAGUUCUUAGGGAUGAAGAUUUGAUAAUUGAAAAAGUUUGGUUCCAAAAUGAAAAUAUUCAAUUUUGACUGAAAAAACCGUGUUCUCUAGCAAGAGGUUUUAGGCUGAUACCAAGCAAGUCUCAUACACACUAAUCGGAUUAAGAUUUUUGUGUUCCGUCUGCUCGAGAGGUACUUAGAUGAUUUGAUAAUAGAAAAUGUUUGGUUUAAAAAUAAGAACGUUCAAUUUUGACCCGAAAAACCUUGUGCUAUAGCAAGAGAUUUUGGGUCGAAAUCAAGCGGAACUCGUAUACACAAAUCGGAUUAAGAUUUUCGUGUUCCGUCAGCUCGAGAGAUACUUAGAAAUGAUGAUUUGAUAAUAGAAAAAGUUUGGUUCAAAAUUAAGAACAUUCAAUUUUAACCAG
rnacentral:lncRNA from 1 species